UAAGGAAUAUUGGUCAAUGGACGCAAGUCUGAACCAGCCAUGCCGCGUGGAGGAUUAAGGCCCUCUGGGUUGUAAACUCCUUUUAUCUGGGAAGAAAUGUACUUUUUCUUGAGUACUUGACGGUACCAGAGGAAUAAGCACCGGCUAACUCCGUGCCAGCAGCCGCGGUAAUACGGAGGGUGCAAGCGUUAUCCGGAUUCACUGGGUUUAAAGGGUGCGUAGGUGGGCAGGUAAGUCAGUGGUGAAAUCUCCGGGCUUAACCCGGAAACUGCCGAUGAUACUAUUUGUCUUGAAUAUUGUGGAGGUAAGCGGAAUAUGUCAUGUAGCGGUGAAAUGCUUAGAUAUGACAUAGAACACCAAUUGCGAAGGCAGCUUACUACACAAUCAUUGACGCUGAGGCACGAAAGCGUGGGGAUCAAACA
rnacentral:rRNA from 1 species